CCGCUCCGCCCUCUGGAUAAGGCAAAUCCCCAAUCCCCAAUCUCCCAAAUCUCUCGUCGCCUCCGACCUCCCAGUACCGGCCGACCACCGCCCCAUCCCUUCCACAACGCCCCGAGCUCACUCGAGCGCCUCCCCAUCCACAUCGGAGCUCUGCCUCAUCCCCGUCCAGGCGGCGCGCCUACCACAGCCUCCGCAUCUCACUCCUCCAUCCCCACAGAUCUGUUGUGUGCUCCUUUGCAUCACCGGCACAGCCUCCUCUGCACCAGAUCUGUUGUCCUCCACUCCGCCGCAUGCUCCGACCCUCCGCACAGCCUCCUCUACACCAGCCCGUUGAUGGCUUUGGCCAUUGCCCCUGCAUCUCCGGCACCGCCCCCAGUCAGCUCUCUGCACGGCGCCAUCUCCUCAAACUGUAAAUCCGCGCGCGUACAGGUUUCUCCUGCUAAUUGACUAGAUUAUAUUUAUUUUUCUCUUUAGCUGGUGAUGGAGAACAUCUUCACCGCCCCACAGCCUCCCUUCAAUUGCUACCUCCACCUUGAUGGAGUACCGAAUUCCUUAGAUUGCUACCUCCACCCUCAUGAAUCAAGAUGAGCCGAGAGAAGAAGGUAAAAAUCUGAUUUUUCAGUGUUGUGGUAGCAAUGCUAAGUACUUGACUGAAAAUAAACCUGCGGAUUGAGCAGCAUCUUUCACCAGGAGAAUCACAAGAUCAUGCCUUGAAGAACGUCUUGCAACGAAAGCUCACUACCAGAAACUGUAAUUUUUCUGUGUGCCAAAUAGUCCGAUGUACCAUAUUGAAAGAGGAUUUAGUAUGAACGCAAUUUCUUUUCACUGUGCAUUAGUAGGUUCUGUGCCUAAACAUUUUUCUGACUUAUGUUGGGGUGCAUAAGUAGUUAGAUUUUAGAUUUAUAUUUUUCUUGUCAUUAGUGUUCAUGCAACACUCUGUAAUGUUUCUGCCUGAAUUUUGUGCAAAGCAGAUAUUUCCAUCCAAAGAAACAUUUUUUUUGUAGAACGAAAAAUUAAAAAUGUUCAACAGUCAUUCAUGUAUUUCUCAGAGCAUCUUGGAGGCGGUGGCGCUGCUGCUGCUGCUGCUGCUCUUGUGAUGAGCUUAAUAGAGGCUACAGCUCCUUGACUUCAAGGAGGAAAGGGAAACAUGAUUAGUUCUUGGACAGGGCUGGGCAGCAUGAGCCAACACAGGGGAUUGUAGCUACCGUACUGGGAUUUGUAAUGUGUUGUUCCAACUUCCAGGUUUUUGAAAGACAAUAAAGUCCUAGAUAUUUAUUUUCUCUUAUGUUAUCUAAAAAUGCUUUUAAUGUGUAGUUCGUCUAAGGAGUGAUUUAGUGCCAUGAUUCAGCCCUUCCGUGAGCGCUCGGCUUGGAGCUGUCCAUUGCCUUAGAAAGUAGCCUCCAUGCUUCUUAAAUCUGGGUACUGUUUUGUACAGAGGCUUUCAUCUAUGGAGAAGCACAUCGAUGGAGAAACAAAACAUGCUCAAAGGCAAUCUUUUUCAGAUGAUCGAGACGACCGAGUCAUCAACUGUCCAACAGCUGAAAUGGAACUUCUAGGCACCUAUUUCAGAUAUCAUUUCCUAGUUGCAGCUAAUCUAGAGCAGGAGUAAGAGCUGUUAUAUUCAGCAUAAGCCAAGGUUUUGCCAAGUUAGUUUGAGAACUGUGAUGUCAAAUAGGCUAAUUUGAAACGGAAGCUUGCAGUCCAAGCUGUGAUUGAGUGACACCAAGUUGUGAUUGAGUGACAUGAGGUCUUGUUUCUGCAUAUAGUUGAAGAACUUAUCUGUAAUUAGAUGUGCACUUCUGUUUUGUUGAUUGUGGAUUGUUGUAUGCUAAUUAUAAACGGAUUUGUGUACGAAAUACAUGUGAUUUAGUAGAACUAUGAUUAAUGUAAUGUAUUACUGUACUUGUGAAAAUGGAUAAACUGUGAGAACUAUUUGUAUCAUUUUUA